rnacentral:rRNA from 1 species
GCUCAGGAUGAACGCUAGCUACAGGCUUAACACAUGCAAGUCGAGGGGCAGCAUUUCAGUUUGCUUGCAAACUGGAGAUGGCGACCGGCGCACGGGUGAGUAACACGUAUCCAACCUGCCGAUAACUCGGGGAUAGCCUUUCGAAAGAAAGAUUAAUACCCGAUGGUAUAAUUAGACCGCAUGGUCUUGUUAUUAAAGAAUUUCGGUUAUCGAUGGGGAUGCGUUCCAUUAGGCAGUUGGUGAGGUAACGGCUCACCAAACCUUCGAUGGAUAGGGGUUCUGAGAGGAAGGUCCCCCACAUUGGAACUGAGACACGGUCCAAACUCCUACGGGAGGCAGCAGUGAGGAAUAUUGGUCAAUGGGCGAGAGCCUGAACCAGCCAA